rnacentral:rRNA from 1 species
UACGAGGGGGGCGAGCGUUGUUCGGAAUUAUUGGGCGUAAAGGGUGCGUAGGCGGUUUGAUAAGUCUGAUGUGAAAGCCCACGGCUCAACCGUGGAGGGUCAUUGGAAACUGGGGGACUUGAGUACAGAAGAGAAGAGUGGAAUUCCACGUGUAGCGGUGAAAUGCGUAGAGAUGUGGAGGAACACCAGUGGCGAAGGCGACUCUUUGGUCUGUAACUGACGCUGAGGCGCGAAAGCGUGGGGAGCAAACAGG